ACGGGGUAUUUAUGGCCUGGCGGGAGAGCAGCAGCGGGGGAGCUAGAACAGCGAGCCGGCCAGUGGAUGAGGCGCGGCGCCUGCGGCUCAGGGCGCCUCCCCCCUCGGCUUCCCGAACCCUGCCAGGUCCGACCCGAGGGGGAGGAUGGACACUCCAGUUGCGUUCUGAGCCUGCGCAGAAGAUAACACCCCUGCGGCCACAGCACCCCACCGUCCCGCCCAGGACACCCCCUCGCCCCUGUCCUUUCUAUUAGUCGAUCUCCAGGAGUCGGACGGACGCGCGGAAGAGCGCGCGAUGGCAGAAAACGUGAGGAGGCUGGCCAAAAGCGAAUCUUUUCGAGCACUGCCGGACAAAGUCUCCUACUGGGUGAAGGACUACAACAAAAAUACCUGUGAUGAAAAUCUAAAUUAUUGCAUCGAACUCAUCGAAAACGUUGCCAAAGUGCAGGCACAGCUCUUCGGGAUUCUCACAGUGACAGCCCAAGAAGGAGGACAGACCGAGGGCGUGGAAACAAUCAAGGGUCGCCUUUUGCCUUUGCUGGAGACUUCUUUCAGUACUGUAAAUGUGUUAAAACUUGGGGAGAACAAGGAACCCUCUGCGCAGGACACGUAUUAUAGAGAUAAGGGCAGAGAUACUGGUUUUCGGGAUCAGGACCAACAGCAAUUAGAUACUGAAUUCGUCUCAGACGGUCAACAAAACCAGGUUCAAGACGAUCUGGGUGACCCUGGAAAGAAUGUUGAAGGAACCAAGAACAGAUCAACCAUAUCCCUCGUGGCUGCAGAGGAGGAGAUACAUCAGCUGAAAAGGCAGCUUAAGACUCUUCAAGCCCAGGAAGAUGCCCGCCAUAAGAACUCAGAGGGUCGUCGCUCUGAGGCUUCAAAAUCUGAUCGCCGAACUUCGAGCAAACGGGCCCAAGAACCACGGGGCACAGACCCACGGAGCCAAGAGGUGAUGUCCGGCUAUGAGAAACAUCUCCAAAAUCUGAAGGAUGAGAUAGCUGUGUUGUCUGCUGAAAAGUCCGGUCUCCAGGGAAGGUCAGCCAGGAGCCGGUCUCCUAGCCCUACUUACCAUAGCAGCAGCCGCAGCCGCAGCCGCAGCCACAGCCGCAGCCGCAGCAGGUCUAACAGCCCCAACACCGCCGUGGUCAAGGUCAGAAGCCCGUCCCCAAACCGGUCCAAAAUGUCCAGCGUGGCUCGCAAAGCUGCUCUCCUGUCCCGAUUCAGCGACGCCUAUUCCCAGGCCCGCCUGGACGCCCAGUGCUUGCUGCGGCGUUGUAUCGACAGGGCAGAGACGGUGCAGCGGAUCAUUUACAUCGCCACAGUGGAGGCCUUUCAUGUAGCUAAAAUGGCGUUCAGGCAUUUCAAGAUCCGGGUGAGGAAGAUGCUGACACCAUCGCACGUGGGGUCAAAUGACUUUGAGAACACAGUCUUGGACUACAUCGUUUGUCAUCUUGAUCUAUAUGAUUCUCAAAGCAGUGUUAAUGAUGUGAUCCGUGCCAUGAACGUCAACCCCAAGAUCUCAUUCCCUCCUGAAGUUGACUUCUGUGUCCUCAGUGACUUCAUCCAGGAGAUAUGCUGCAUUGCCUUCGCAAUGCAGUCCUUAGAUCCACCACUUGACAUCGCGUUUGGGGCCGAUGGAGAAGUCUUUAAUGAUUGCAAGUACCGCCGCAGCUAUGACUCGGAUUUCACUGCUCCCCUGGUCUUUUAUCACGUGUGGCCUGCUCUCAUGGAGAAUGACUGUGUCAUUAUGAAGGGAGAAGCUGUCACCAAGAGAGGGGCUUUUUGGAGUUCUGUGCGACCUGUAACACGCUGCCGCAGCAGGAGUUUAAGUCCCAUCUGCCCUCGUAACCGCAUUGGAUUAAGCACGUGCGGUGGCAGAGCUUCCUCGGCAGAACCACAGAACAGUCCCGUAAUAACUCAGACCCAACAUCAUCUCUGAGCCUACUAUUCCUCCAUUAGGUUCCUUCUCAAACAACUCAAAGGCCAGAGAGAGCCACAUAUAUCCCAGUGUAGAUGAGGACAUAACAUAUAUUCUCAAAGAUGAAACUGAGCCAACUUCCCUUCUCUGCUCAUCUCUCCCUUCAAUAAGGAUAUCUCGAAGUCGGAGUCCUUCUCCAAUAAGAUGUACAUUGCCAAGAUACUAAAGCCACCAGCCACGUUCACUUGCCACAGCCCAUUGGAACAGCCAGCUUCCUCAGUGUCUCCAUCCACCUGCCUUGUCUGCCUCCGAUCUCACUUAACAUGAAAUGAAAAGGCAAUUCUGUGUGUCACUCCGCACAGAGAGUUUAAUGCUUUGGCUCAGUGCCUUUGUAACUCUAGGUCCAUAGCAGUUCCUCUUAUUUUGUAGGGGAAAAUUCCAUUAAUUUCAUAAAAACAAUGAUGUAGGCAUAUAGGAUGACAUUCAUUUGAACAAAGUCCAUUGCAAAGGUAGAGACUUCUCCCCCUAAGUACCGGGAUCUUUCAGAGCAACUCUAGGAGUGACAGUAGAAGUCAUUGUCCAGCUGAGUCCCAAAGGAAGGACAAGUGCUUUUAUUUACAGACCAGUCAUAAAUGCUCUUAUUGUUAGCAUCAGCCUUAGCUCCCUGAAACCACAGUGUCAGUGCCUGAUCCUCUCUAAAGGCUUCCAAGGCAUCCAUAACUCCGCCAACCCUCACUUCAGGGUACAUGUAGCCAAUAAGAAAAUGUUAAUUUGAAGGCAUAGAACAGUUUGCUUGCUUCUCUCUUUGUACUUUAGCUAAGUGUCAGCACUACUAGGCCUUCUGUUUUCUGUUUUUUCUCCCUUCCCUCCUCCCUCCUCUCCCUUCUUGCUUUCCUUUCUCUUCUUGUACACAGGUACCAUUUGAUCAGUUCAGAUCUGGAUGCCUUAGCUUGAAGAGUCUUGACUUUUAAUAAAACCGUUCAGUAAAGAGUGGGCAAGGACCAUCCUUGAAGAUAAAAUUAAAACACUAAAUGCUGAGUGUUCCCAGUGUCUGCCUGUGACGUCACUGGCUACGACUGUUUAUGAACACCAGGAGACACCUUGUCACCCUUGGAGGUGACUUUCUGAGAUAGUGGGUCAUUCUUGAUUACAUUUCAACUAAAAGCCAGUCUUAUCCAACUUAGGCAGUUACAGCAUUCCUGAAUGACCAAUUGUGUGUUAAAACUGUAUAAUAGUCACUUGUGUUGUAUGAUGAAAGGUCUUAUGUAAAAUCUUACCAAAUAUUGAGAAUGCCUCUGUAUCAUAAGCACCCCUUUCAAAGUCAUGUGUGUUAUCUAAUUUGGAAAAAAUUGUCUAGUUAUUUGUUCUCAACCCUAUUGGGCCACUUAACGUUUCUCAAGCUUCUAAUUUGAGCUGUAGCCUCACAGAGAAAGCCAAACGGUGGGAAGCAUCUUUUGGAAGUGUCUGUGGUCUGUGAACCCAGAGGAGGCUGGUCUGUCCUCAUGGCAUCUGGGUGUCGAAGGCUGGAAAGCUCUUGUUUUGCUCUCUGGGUCAGUGUGAAUUUUUGUGUUAUUGCUCAGCCCCUAAUACUAAAAUCACAGUAGAGUGCUAUACUCUGAUAUGUCUUCCUUCCUGAUUCUCAGGGUUAGUGGUGCCCCCCCCUCCUUCUCUAACCCACGAAAGUGAACCACAAUCACACAUUCAUCAAGUAAAUACUGGCUGUAGCCUGCCCCAGGCUGACCCUGUGAGAGCUGCAGCCCAUGGGGAAGUCAGACUGCUGGCUUUGCUUUGUCUUAAUUGCAGCUCCUCUCACCCGUUCAGGAGACCCUAGGGCCCUGCUCAACUGUUUUCAUUUGCAUCAUCUCAAUGGCUCCCCACAUUAGCUAGGCACAUCUGUGGACUCUACAGUCUUGCUCCAAUGUUUUUUGCUUUAGAGUAAGACCCUGCCUCAUUUUCUUCUGUUUCUCUUGGUACACAGUUCUGGUUCUUUGUAUGAGGGGAGUGUGUGUGUGUGUGUGUGUGUGUGUGUGUGUGUGUUGUGUAUUCCUGGAUUUGUCCUAUAGUGCUGAUGAUAUAUAUGUAGAGAAAGGCCUGAUUUCUAUGAAGUUUAAUGUCCCAUUUAGCUGUAUUCCUUGGUGAUUUUCUUGUCAUAAAGAGAUGUGAAUACAUAAGAAAUGAUAGCUUAUGAAAGCUGGGCUUGUGGCAUACAACUGUAACCUCAGCACUUGGAGGCUAAGGCAGGAGAAGUGCCAAAAGUUUAAGGCCAGUGAGUUUUAGGGCAGCCCGAGCCACCUAGGAUGGCCUCAUCUCAGAAAGAAAAACACACCUAGGAAGGCCCAGUAAGUAAAUGUAGCAAAGAAAAUUCUACACGUCAACUUGAAGGAUUUAAAAUUAUUAUCAGGCAAAUAUAUCUGCAUGGAACACAGCUGUGGAGCAGCUGGGAGAGUGCCUCAGCUGGGGAGAACUCCAUCCAGGCAGUACAGUGCUUGCCGUGUAACUCUAAGAGUCUGAAUUUGGAUCUUAGCACCCGUGAGGCUUAGCAUGACAGUACAUCUCUUUCCCCAUUACUGGGAAAGCAGAGACAGGCCCACUGCUGCAGCUCCUGGUCUGCCAGUCCAGACAAACGGGUGAAGAUUCAUCUCAAAAAUAAGGUGGAAGCACGAUGAGAAAGACGCUUGACAUUGACUUCUAGCCUCCUCAUUCAACAUGUUCAUGUGAGCACCCACAUCCAUGUGCACACACACAUAGAUGGACACAUCACACACACACACACACACACACACACACACACACACAGAGUGGGGGACAGAAGGAGUGUUAUGAAAGGGAAGGGUAGACUAGUGUGGUAAAAUACACCAGAGAAUGGACCUCAGCUUACCUAUAAUCCUGGCAUCGUUAAACAAGUUAGUUCGAGAAGGCAGAAGCAGUUCAGAGGACAUCGAUUUGAAGGUGCCCCACUAGCACAGCUGUUUGCUCAACUAGUUGUCUCUCUAAGUUACAGGGCAUUUUCUGAUCAUUCUAAGUUGCUUUUAGGCACACAAUAUGUCCUGUUGUGGACAGAGUGCUGCCAGCAUCAUUCUGUAAGGCUGGAGUUGGUAGGAGAUUUCUUAGUGGUAUUGCUUUGAAAAACUUCAUACAUAUAAUUAAGGGUAAGAUGCUAUGGAACUUUGAAGAAACUAGAAUUUACAAGCUGCAUUAGAUCAUGGAACUCUGAGCCCAGGAACACAUGAAUAAGUACAAUUUAAAAUGGCAUGUUAGCCCUAAUACAGGAAUGAGCAGUGGCCUUGAAAAUACAAUAGGAAUAACUUUCUCAUUGCAAUGAAAUGUAACUGAACAGUUUCACACUUGAAAAAACAGUCCAGCAGAGGUCAGUGUGAACACACUUUUCAUAGUAUCACCAACAAUUAUUCACCAAAACUGGGCAUUGAUUUGUCCUACUACAGGGUGAGUGACAGAGGAGCGUGGCAAGUGUACAUAUUGCAGAUUUAAUUACAAAGUGGGUAUAGCACUUUUAGAAUUUUAGUAUUGAAAUGAUGUGUUAAAAUAUGUUGUAAAGGUACUAGAGAAGCUACUUAGUAAUUGGGAAAUGGCCAGAAGAUCUUGAGUGUCACACUGUGAACUAAGUCCCUUAGCAACUCACUUCUUAGGUUGGGAAACUGAGGCCCUGGAGUAUUACAGGGGACAAGUCCUGGAGCCCUGCCAUAAAAUCGUCUUGGCUCAGCCCUGUGGGUCAUAUGUGUGUGGUAGGAUGGAACAAGCUUCCUUUGCUAUCAUUUGAGAAGCUUUUGCUGGUGUGUUACAGGAUAUUCCAAGACUUCCAGUUGCUGGAGAGAGCUUUUCACGAAGUUCUUGCAGGGUAGCAUUUUAGAAACCCCGUUCCAGGUCAUGCUUGUCUUUAGGAUGCAUUUUCCCCAUUUCAGAAUUAAAUAUGCUGCUGACUAUUGAUGGCCAUUGUACUAACUUUUCCAAGUGAAUGAAGUAUCAGAGUGAUGUUUUCUACUAAACACACUGGCUUAGUCACUGAUCAGUGAGCAUGAUGGUGACAAAUGGUUCUACGAGGUUGUGUGUGUUGAAAUUGACACCCAUCUUGAGGCAUUUCAGGGGUGAAAUCUUAAUUCUAUGAUACUUAGAAGUUAGGUUUUUGGGAGGUGAUUAGUAUUAGGUGAUAGAGUCAUUAGGGGGACGCGAUUCAGUCCUGGUGGCUGCAGAAGAGACAUACACAUGUGUCCUCACUAUUUUCCACUGUGUGAUGCUCUGUGCUGUCUAUGGACUCUGUUAGCAAGAAGACCAUCACUCCAUGUGUCCCUUAGACUUUGUACCGCUAAGACCUCAGGUCACAAUAAAGUAUUUUAUUAUAGUAGCGAAAGAUGUACUAAUACAACCAGUUACUGAAUAAAAGACCCAAAUAAACAA